GAUGAACGCUGGCGGCGUGCCUAAUACAUGCAAGUCGAGCGAAUGGAUUAAGAGCUUGCUCUUAUGAAGUUAGCGGCGGACGGGUGAGUAACACGUGGGUAACCUGCCCAUAAGACUGGGAUAACUCCGGGAAACCGGGGCUAAUACCGGAUAACAUUUUGAACCGCAUGGUUCGAGAUUGAAAGGCGGCUUCGGCUGUCACUUAUGGAUGGACCCGCGUCGCAUUAGCUAGUUGGUGAGGUAACGGCUCACCAAGGCAACGAUGCGUAGCCGACCUGAGAGGGUGAUCGGCCACACUGGGACGGAGACACGGCCCAGACUCCUACGGGAGGUAGCAGUAGGGAAUCUUCCGCAAUGGACGAAAGUCUGACGGAGCAACGCCGCGUGAGUGAUGAAGGCUUUCGGGUCGUAAAACUCUGUUGUUAGGGAAGAACAAGUGCUAGUUGAAUAAGCUGGCACCUUGACGGUACCUAACCAGAAAGCCACGGCUAACUACGUGCCAGCCGCCGCGGUAA
rnacentral:rRNA from 1 species